UUAAACGGGGAAAACACUUACCAAAUCUUGACAUCCCCUUGACAAAGUAUGUAAUGUACUCUUUCUUUCGGAACAUGAGUGACAAGAGGUGCAUGGUUUGUCGUCAGCUCGUGUCGUGAGAUGUUGGGUUAAGUCCCGCAACGAGCGCAACCCUUAUCUUUAGUAGCCAGCAUUUAGGAUGGGCACUCUAGAGAGACUGCCCGGGUGAACCGGGAGGAAGGUGGGGAUGACGUCAAAUCAUCAUGCCCCUUAUGAUUUGGGCUACACACGUGCUACAAUGGCGUAAACAAAGGGAAGCAAUUGGGUGACCAUGAGCAAAUCUCAAAAAUAACGUCUCAGUUCGGAUUGUAGUCUGCAACUCGACUACAUGAAGCUGGAAUCGCUAGUAAUCGCGAAUCAGAAUGUCGCGGUGAAUACGUUCCCGGGUCUGUACCCCCCCGAA
rnacentral:rRNA from 1 species